rnacentral:rRNA from 1 species
GACGAACGCUGGCGGCGUGCUUAACACAUGCAGGUCGAACGGAAAGGCCCUGCUUGCAGGGUACUCGAGUGGCGAACGGGUGAGUAACACGUGGGUGAUCUGCCCUGCACUUCGGGAUAAGCUUGGGAAACUGGGUCUAAUACCGGAUAGGAGCCAUCUUUAGUGUGGUGGUUGGAAAGUUUUUUCGGUGUAGGAUGAGCUCGCGGCCUAUCAGCUUGUUGGUGGGGUAAUGGCCUACCAAGGCGGCGACGGGUAGCCGGCCUGAGAGGGUGUACGGCCACAUUGGGACUGAGAUACGGGCCAGACUCCUACGGGAGGCAGAAGUGGGGAAUAUUGCACAAUGGGCGCAAGCCUGAGGCAGCGACGCCGCGUGGGGGAUGAAGGCCUUCGGGUUGUAAACUCCUUUCGCUAGGGACGAAGCUUUUUUGUGACGGUACCUAGAUAAGAAGCACCGGCUAACUACGUG